rnacentral:rRNA from 1 species
CAUCCAUUCCGCGUGAGUGAAGAAGGCCUUCGGGUUGUAAAGCUCUUUCGCAAGGGAAGAAAACUUAUGAUCGAAUAAAUCAUGAGGUUGACGGUACCUUGAUAAGAAGCACCGGCUAACUACGUGCCAGCAGCCGCGGUAAUACGUAGGGUGCGAGCGUUAAUCGGAAUUACUGGGCGUAAAGCGUGCGCAGGCGGUUUUGUAAGUCGGAUGUGAAAUCCCCGGGCUCAACCUGGGAACUGCGUUCGAAACUGCAAGGCUAGAGUGUGUCAGAGGGGGGUAGAAUUCCACGUGUAGCAGUGAAAUGCGUAGAGAUGUGGAGGAAUACCAAUGGCGAAGGCAGCCCCCUGGGAUAACACUGACGCUCAUGCACGAAAGCGUGGGGAGCAAACAGGAUUAGAUACCCUGGUAGUCCACGCCCUAAACGAUGUCAACUAGUUGUUGGUAGAGUAAAAUCUAUGAGUAACGUAGCUAACGCGUGAAGUUGACCGCCUGGGGAGUACGGUCGCAAGAUUAAAACUCAACGGAAUUGACGGGGGCCCGCACAAGCGGUGGAUUAUGUGGAUUAAUUCGAUGCAACGCGAAAAACCUUACCUGGCCUUGACAUGUACCGAAUUGAGCAGAGAUGUUCAAGUGCUCGACAGAGAACGGUAACACAGGUGCUGCAUGGCUGUCGUCAGCUCGUGUCGUGAGAUC